GUGUCAGCAGCCGCGGUAAGACAGAGGGUGCAAGCGUUGUUCGGAAUUAUUGGGCGUAAAGGGCGCGUAGGCGGCUUCAUAAGUCAGAUGUGAAAGCCCGGGGCUUAACCCCGGAAGUGCGUCUGAUACUGUGAGGCUUGAGUCCUGGAGAGGGCGGUGGAAUUCCCAGUGUAGAGGUGAAAUUCGUAGAUAUUGGGAGGAAUACCGGUGGCGAAGGCGACCGCCUGGACAGAGACUGACGCUGAGGCGCGAAAGCGUGGGGAGCAAACAGGAUUAGAAACCCUGGUAGUCC
rnacentral:rRNA from 1 species